UAGCACUUCUCACCCUCUG
rnacentral:misc_RNA from 1 species